UACGUAGGUGUCGAGCGUUGUCCGGAUUUAUUGGGCGUAAAGAGCCCGCAGGCGGCUUGGCAAGUUUGAGGUGAAAUCUCCCGGCUUAACUGGGAGGGGGCCUCGAAAACUGCCAGGCUUGAGGCAUGGAGAGGGAUGCGGAAUUCCCGGUGUAGUGGUGAAAUGCGUAGAUAUCAGGAGGAACACCGGUGGCGAAGGCGGCUACUCUGGACCAUAACUGGACGCUGAGACGCGAAAGCUAG
rnacentral:rRNA from 1 species